UCAACAACGGAUCUCUUGGUUCUGGCAUCGAUGAAGAACGCAGCGAAAUGCGAUAAGUAAUGUGAAUUGCAGAAUUCAGUGAAUCAUCGAAUCUUUGAACGCACAUUGCGCCCGCCAGUAUUCUGGCGGGCAUGCCUGUCCGAGCGUCAUUU
rnacentral:rRNA from 1 species